rnacentral:rRNA from 1 species
UACGGAGGGUGCAAGCGUUAUUCGGAAUUACUGGGCGUAAAGCGUGCGUAGGUGGUUCGUUAAGUCUGUUGUGAAAGGCCCGGGCUCAACCUGGGAAUGGCAAUGGAUACUGGCGAGCUAGAGUGUGUCAGAGGAUGGUGGAAUUCCCGGUGUAGCGGUGAAAUGCGUAGAGAUCGGGAGGAACAUCAGUGGCGAAGGCGGCGAUCUGGGACAACACUGACGCUGAGGCACGAAAGCGUGGGGAGCAAACAGG